AUAUAGAAAGACAUUAUCUUACACCAGUAAUGAUUCUAAUGAAACAGUAGAAGGUAUUUCAUCUUUUAAACAAUACAAGCUCCAUGUCAUAAAUUUCCAAUAAUGGCUGUUAAAUUUCCACUGUAAAGUUGGAACAACUACUUUAUUACCAUUACCUCUGUGUUAUACUUUAUUACUUGUAGAACAGGGUCUUAUCUUUGUUGUAGACAGCAAUGACAGAGAUCGUGUUGUUGAGGCAAGGGAUGAAUUGCACAGGAUGUUGAAUGAGGAUAAGCACUGCAUGUCUUUUGGUAAUUCUUUCACAAGUAUAUCGAUAUUGGCAGCCACUGGAUGCAGAUGUACAGUACUUUCCUGUUAGGCAAGGGUAGUUACAAAGAUGUGAAAGACAUCACUAAUUGGCUAUGCUUUAAAGGGAAUCAGAUGUUUAUGGCUUACUGCUGUGUGGCAUGUGAGGUAAUUCAGACUUAAUUUGAGGUAAUUGUAUACAGGUAAAUAAUACUA